GAAUUGAGUGAUUUAUGUAAAAGCAAUGCUAAUGAAUAGUCUCAGCCAUUCUGGGCUUCUUUUAUGUGGAUCUAUUUCUUUUUCUUAUGGUUUCAGUCUGAAGGCACUCUCAUUAUGUUAACUAGCUUAGGCAGCAAUUUUAAUAUUAAUUUUGCAACAUAAAUGGGCUCAUUGUCCAAGUUGUAGAUGCCUAAAGCAAUGGUAACUUUUAAAGACACUUUCAUCAAAUUGCUUGUAUUUGUUUUCCUGAAAGAAUUAAUCCAGGAGCAAGGCUGCUUCUCUUUAUUGUUUAGUGUCAGCUUGUACCUGCUUUGCCUCCCCCACGAACUCGUCAGAAAGCUCACAGUGCCAGGGUUUUACCGGUAGCUCUACCCAUGUUGGUCAUUUUGUCCCAGACAUCUUCAUGGGCUUGAAACUGACUUUGCAAACAUGUAAGUAUGGGCUUUUAAAAGUAGAUAUUACUAUCUCAUGUCAAUAUUCUUUCUAUCCUUCCCAGAGUAAAAACACAGGUUCUAUGGCAUUUGGAUCUAUUAGAGGAAGCAGCCCAGUAAACGCAGUGAGUGGUGAUCAGGCACAGCUCUCUCUGCUGAGGUCUGGCUGGACUGAUCCUGUGGAAGGGAACAGCACAAUGUCCAUACUGCUCCUGUGAUAUAUAGAGGAUAGCUAUUGAAUGCAAGGGCCCUGGUUCAAAUCCCUGUUCUACCACUUCCUGUGAGAUUGUAGAAGUUACUUAACUUUUCUCUACCUUAGUUUCUUCAUCUAAAAAUGGGAGACUAGUGGCUAUCUCAAAUGACCGUCGUGAGGAUUCAAUGAGUUAACACACAUGUUUAAGCUACUGUCAGGUACCUAUUUAAAUACUCAAUAAAUAUCAGCUGCCAUUCCUCCUCCUCCUAUGACACUUCUCCUGCUACUGCCAUUCUCCUCAAGCAUGGUAAGCUCUUCUUCAUCCAUGUACAGAGAGUGGGAGGUGCAUUUGGAGCAUUUAUCUCUCCUUUAACUGUGACGGUGGCUUCAUAGACCUUGGACCCUACUCAUCUGAGUUAAGUAGACACAACAAUAACCCAGGAACACAUUAAACCCUUGCUGCCUCAUUAUUUACUUGCUGCAAUUUUACUGUAUAAUUACAUGGAAUUUUGGUAUCCCUUUGCAGCCUAAAUGUUCUGAGGUUAGAUUGGAAGUGCCAUCAUGUCUAUUUUUCAUUCAUCAAACCUUACCAUGCAGCACUAAGCACAGCGUGGCUGGAAGACUGAGUAAGGUAGUUCCCCUCUUAAACAACCUUAUGAUCAGCAGAAGAAAUAAUGUAUGGAUACGAAUCAUUUUAAGAAUAACAAUGAUAUAUAUUUGAAAAUUUGCUCCUUGGCAGGUUGUGCUGAGCACUUUCCAUUUUUUAUGUAAUUGAAUUCCUAUAAUGGUAGAGGACAAUGAUGUAGGGACAAAGUCCUGUGGUUUAAGUAGUAAGUGGAAAAACAAGGAGUUGAACUCUGACUUCAAAGCUUGUGAUCAUGCUCAUACGUGUCACAAACACACUCCAUGAGAGACUGUCACAAGGCCCUUUGUGAGGCAGAGGAGGGAGAAGUCACUUCUAGUUGGUGUGUUAGUGGUGCAGUGUGCUUUUGAGGAAGGUUUGGUGGCAAAGGUAGAUUUUUAGCCUUAGCAUUUCACAACUGGUGGGCAGAAUUUAGAUGGGCAGAAGCAUUUUAGGAGAUUUUCAGAUUGAGAAAUGGAGGCAUCGAGGUCAAAUCUUUUACCUAAACCACUGAGCAGCAGAGACAGCUUCCUAUCCCAUGUUUCAGUGCUGGAGCAGACCCGUGUGUGUUUGGGAGCAGGGGUAGCUGGAGCUCUUGGAGGCCUCGCAGAGAGAUGGCCUUGCCCAUGAUGAAGUCCUCUGGUGACUCUGCAGGACUGGCUUCGGUCUUCAAAUUGGAUAUUUCCACUGGCACAUAACUAAGCCUCAGUCAAUGGAACUAUACAUCCAUAAGUCUCAGAAAGCAGAAGGAUGGCUUCCUAAAUGAUUUUUCCUUAUGCUAUAUGUGCCAAUAGAUAUCACUAAUACAAUCAGUACAAAUAACAGUUCAUGGCUUCAGACAACAGAGGUCUUUUCAACCUCUGUUGAGUCUGUAGAAAAUCAUCUUGAUAAAAUGCUAUUAAAUUUAAGGAUAUGGAGUGCAGGUUCUGCAAGAAGAAUGGCCCUGGGACCUAGAACAGUGCCUGGUCCAAAGUUGGUACUCAAAUAUUUCAAAUAAAUGAAUGAAUCAGGGACUCAGUGGCUCUCUUUCCAAAUUUAUUACAGUUAAGUCCAUAGGCAAUCGCAGCAUUUCAUAGAACUGCCAGACAUGAUGGCCAAGGCAGAGAAGAAUCUUGAUUAAUCCUUGUUAAUACAAGUCAGGUUUUUCUAUUUUCAGAGGUCCCUAGGUACUGGAGCAACUCUGCUAUCUGGUAUACCCAAAUAGCCCAGUACCUAGCACAGUUCUGACAUAGAAUAGGUAUUCUGUAGUACAAUAAGUGAAUCAGGGCAUUUCAGUCGUCAAGAGUAUGAACUGGAAUUCUGCUCUUGGUUGCAAGAUAUCCAUAAUAGGAAAACUAUAUAUCAAAAAAAAUAUUGCUUCAGACUUAGUUGUCAAGGGAGCCAAGACCUUGUGUGUGUUCAUCAUAGUUAAAAUGCUCACUAAUUGAUACUGCUGGAAGGCUUACCUCAUGAACAAUGUUCUGUCACCUAUGAAAAUGCACUGAAGUAGCUUCUUGGGUAAACACUGGUAGGAGCUCAUAUUCAUAACUUUUAAGCUGCUGGUACAGUCCAAAAAAGGUUACCACUAGAUAAUCUAAAAUAUUCUUGGAGACACUCGGGUUGCAUUUGG